rnacentral:sRNA from 1 species
UUUAGCUGCUGGUUCCGGCCGCACCGUGUGGGCUGUAGUAGCGGGAGGGGUGGGGGUCCUCCAGAGUUAAGUGGCUGUCCUCGACUGUGCCCAUACAGCAGCCAGCUUUCUUCCUUAAUAACUGCCCGUUCGAAGAGUGCGAGGAUGUCCAAGCGGCACCGGUUGGACCUAGGGGAGGAUUACCCCUCUGGCAAGAAGCGUGCGGGGACCGAUGGAGUUUUCCACUUGUUGCUAUUUUAUAAAUGAGAAGUUUGAUGAACAUCCUUAUACAUACGUAUUUGCACACAUCCUUGAGAGGUUCCUGGAAAUAAGAUUGACAGAUAAAAAGCAAUGCUUAUUGCUGGGUGUGGUGGCUCACACCUGUAAUCCCAGCACUUUGGGAGGCCUAGGCGAAUGGAUCACCUGAGGUCAGGAGUUCAAGACCAGCCUGGCCAACGAAGGAUCGAGAUCGAGACCGGGAUCGUGAAGAUCGGUCUAAAGAUCGAGACCGAGAACGUGAUAGAGGAGAUAGAGAGCGGGAGAGGGAGAAAGAAAAGGAGAAGGAGUUGCGAGCGUCAACGAAUGC